GAUGAAGAACGCAGUGAAAUGCGAUAAGUAAUGUGAAUUGCAGAUUUCAGUGAAUCAUCGAAUCUUUGAACGCACCUUGCGCUCCUUGGUAUUCCGAGGAGCAUGCCUGUUUGAGUGUCAUUAAAUUCUCAACUCUCCAACUGUUGUCAUGACUGGUGGUAGAGCUUGGACGUGAGGGUUCUGCCGGCUCCUUGUUGAGUCUGGCUCCCUUGAAAAUGAUUAGCGCAGCUUUGCACUGUCCGCUUCAGGUGUGAUAAUUUAUCUACGCCCGACUAGCGACGCGCAUGAAUGGCUUUGUGCUUCUAACCGUCUCGAAAGAGACAAUACCUUUUGAACUUGACCUCAAAUCAGGUAGGACUACCCGCUGAACUUAAGCAUAUCAAUAAGCGGAGGA
rnacentral:misc_RNA from 1 species